GCUUCGAAGACUCUGUCUCAGUCGGUAGAGUUUGAGACUUUCAAUCUCAGGGUUGUGAGUUUGAGCCCCAUGUUGGGCA